rnacentral:rRNA from 1 species
AUUGAACGCUGGCGGCAUGCCUUACACAUGCAAGUCGAACGGCAGCACGGGUGCUUGCACCUGGUGGCGAGUGGUGAACGGGUGAGUAAUACAUCGGAACGUACCUUAUCGUGGGGGAUAACGCAGCGAAAGCUGUGCUAAUACCGCAUAAGCCCUGAGGGGGAAAGCGGGGGAUCGAAAGACCUCGCGCGAUUAGAGCGGCCGAUGCCUGAUUAGCUUGUUGGUGGGGUAAAAGCCCACCAAGGCGACGAUCAGUAGCUGGUCUGAGAGGACGAUCAGCCACACUGGGACUGAGACACGGCCAAGGCUCCUACGGGAGGCAGCAGUGGGGAAUUUUGGACAAUGGGGGCAACCCUGAUCCAGCAAUGCCGCGUGAGUGAAGAAGGCCUUCGGGUUGUAAAGCUCUUUUGUCAGGGAAGAAACACCGGCUCUAACACAGUCCGGGAAUGACGGUACCUGAAGAAUAAGCACCGGCUAACUACGUGCCAGCAGCCGCAGUAA